rnacentral:rRNA from 1 species
GUGGGGAAUAUUGGACAAUGGGCGAAAGCCUGAUCCAGCCAUGCCGCGUGUGUGAAGAAGGUCUUCGGAUUGUAAAGCACUUUAAGUUGGGAGGAAGGGCAGUAAGUUAAUACCUUGCUGUUUUGACGUUACCAACAGAAUAAGCACCGGCUAACUUCGUGCCAGCAGCCGCGGUAAUACGAAGGGUGCAAGCGUUAAUCGGAAUUACUGGGCGUAAAGCGCGCGUAGGUGGUUCAGCAAGUUGGAGGUGAAAUCCCCGGGCUCAACCUGGGAACUGCCUCCAAAACUACUGAGCUAGAGUACGGUAGAGGGUAGUGGAAUUUACUGUGUAGCGGUGAGAUGCGUAGAUAUAGGAAGGAACACCAGUGGCGAAGGCGACUACCUGGACUGAUACUGACACUGAGGUGCGAAAGCGUGGGGAGCAAACAGGAUUAGAAACCCGGGUAGUCC